rnacentral:sRNA from 12 species
UUCUUUAAUGAGCCUUACCAUCAUUUCUUUUCAAAGGAUUUUGGUAAACAUGCUUGGAAGUUACACGCUCUUUCACUACGACUUUAUUUAUUUAUGAAGUUAUAAAAUACAGCUUCGACUUGAUGCUUAGCACUGAAGAAGCAGUGAUAAUAAAAAGUGAAAGAGCUAUUGAGG